rnacentral:misc_RNA from 1 species
GAAAUGCGAUAAGUAAUGUGAAUUGCAGAAUUCCGUGAAUCAUCGAAUCUUUGAACGCACAUUGCGCCCCCUGGUAUUCCGGGGGGCAUGCCUGUCCGAGCGUCAUUGCAACCCUCAAGCGCGGCUUGCGUGUUGGGCGCCGUCCUUCGUGGACGCGCCCGAAAGGCAGUGGCGGUACCGUGCUCCGGUGCCCGAGCGUAUGGGCUUCAAACCCGCUCUGGUGGCCCGGCCGGCGCUGGCCUCGACCCUCAACUUUACCAGGUUGACCUCGGAUCAGGUAGGGAUACCCGCUGAACUUAA